GACUGGGGCGGUCGCCUCCUAAAAGGUAACGGAGGCGCUCAAAGGUUCCCUCAGAAUGGUUGGAAAUCAUUCAUAGAGUGUAAAGGCAUAAGGGAGCUUGACUGCGAGACCUACAAGUCGAGCAGGGUCGAAAGACGGACUUAGUGAUCCGGUGGUUCCGCAUGGAAGGGCCAUCGCUCAACGGAUAAAAGCUACCCCGGGGAUAACAGGCUUAUCUCCCCCAAGAGUUCACAUCGACGGGGAGGUUUGGCACCUCGAUGUCGGCUCAUCGCAUCCUGGGGCUGUAGUCGGUCCCAAGGGUUGGGCUGUUCGCCCAUUAAAGCGGUACGCGAGCUGGGUUCAGAACGUCGUGAGACAGUUCGGUCCCUAUCCGUCGUGGGCGUAGGAAAUUUGAGAGGAGCUGUCCUUAGUACGAGAGGACCGGGAUGGACAUACCUCUGGUGUACCAGUUGUCGUGCCAACGGCAUAGCUGGGUAGCUAUGUGUGGACGGGAUAAGUGCUGAAAG
rnacentral:rRNA from 1 species